rnacentral:rRNA from 1 species
UACGUAGGCAGCAAGCGUUGUUCGGAGUUACUGGGCGUAAAGAGUAUGUAGGCGGUUGCGUAAGUUCGGUGUGAAAUCUCCCGGCUUAACUGGGAGGGUGCGCCGAAAACUGCGUGGCUUGAGUGCGGGAGAGGAGAGCGGAAUUCCUGGUGUAGCGGUGAAAUGCGCAGAUAUCAGGAGGAACACCGAUGGCGAAGGCAGCUCGCUGGGACGGUACUGACGCUGAGGCGCGAAAGCGUGGGGAGCAAACAGG